rnacentral:misc_RNA from 1 species
UCGAAACCUGCACAGCAGAACGACCCGCGAAUUGGUUACAACCGACGGGGGGUGGGGGGCGCUCGUCGCCCCCUCGCCCUCCCUGCGGGCGGGGACCUUGCGUCUCCUGCUCGCAAACCGAACCCCGGCGCGGAACGCGCCAAGGAAAUCGAACCAAGAGAGCCAUGUCGGRGGCCCCGGACACGGUGCGCCCCCGGCGUCGGCGUCUUAUGAAUUAUUC